rnacentral:lncRNA from 1 species
UAAGAUGUCAGAUCCAUUGUUAAGCAUUCUUAUAUACUUGGUCAUCUCAUCUAGUUUGGAAUUUAAGAGUACUACUUCAGUUUUUAACUUGGAGAUGGUUUCAACAUAUUCUUCCUUUUCAUUUUCCAGCUGAGCAAUCACUUUCCUCUGAGUUUCAACUUGUCUGCACACUCCUGCACUUUUCUGGCACAACUCUUUGUAGGUAGUGGCCAGCUCUUCAAAGGUUACUUCAUC